rnacentral:ncRNA from 1 species
CCUUUGGAGAGUUAUAUCAAACUGGAGUAGCUUUUAGCAAAACAAGACUCUAUGAAUAAGGAA